rnacentral:rRNA from 1 species
UACAGAGGGUGCGAGCGUUAAUCGGAGUUACUGGGCGUAAAGGGCGCGUAGGCGGUUCUAUGAGUGUGGUGUGAAAGCCCUGGGCUUAACCUAGGAAGUGCAUCGCAAACGAUAGAACUGGAGUAGAUGAGAGGGUGGCGGAAUUUCCGGUGUAGCGGUGAAAUGUGUAGAGAUCGGGAGGAACACCGGUGGCGAAGGCGAGUCUCUGGGCAAUUCCUGACGCUGAGGCGCGAAAGCGUGGGGAGCAAACGGG